GGCUGGUCUGAGGGCAGUAGUGUUUGCAAAUAAUUGAUCACAUCCAAGGUUCCGGUUGUAAAAUGUUCCUUUGUUCUUUCUCCACUCUCACUGUUUCACUUGACUUGCCAAAA
rnacentral:Y_RNA from 1 species